UACGUAGGUGGCAAGCGUUGUCCGGAUUUAUUGGGUUUAAAGGGUGCGUAGGCGGUUCAAUAAGUCAGUGGUGAAAUACGGCAGCUCAACUGUCGAGGUGCCAUUGAUACUGUAGAACUUGAGUACAGACGAGGUAGGCGGAAUUGACGGUGUAGCGGUGAAAUGCUUAGAUAUCGUCAAGAACACCGAUAGCGAAGGCAGCUUACUAGGCUGUAACUGACGCUGAGGCACAAAAGUGUGGGGAUCAAACAGG
rnacentral:rRNA from 1 species